AACGAACGCUGGCGGCAGGCUUAACACAUGCAAGUCGAACGCCCCGCAAGGGGAGUGGCAGACGGGUGAGUAACGCGUGGGAACAUACCCUUUCCUGCGGAAUAGCUCCGGGAAACUGGAAUUAAUACCGCAUACGCCCUACGGGGGAAAGAUUUAUCGGGGAAGGAUUGGCCCGCGUUGGAUUAGCUAGUUGGUGGGGUAAAGGCCUACCAAGGCGACGAUCCAUAGCUGGUCUGAGAGGAUGAUCAGCCACAUUGGGACUGAGACACGGCCCAAAACUCCUACGGGAGGCAGCAGUGGGGAAUAUUGGACAAUGGGCGCAAGCCUGAUCCAGCCAUGCCGCGUGAGUGAUGAAGGCCUUAGGGUUGUAAAAGCUCUUUCACCGAUGAAGAUAAUGACGGUAGUCGGAGAAGAAGCCCCGGCUAACUUCGUGCCAGCAGCCGCGGUAAAUACGAAGGGGGCUAGCGUUGUUCGGAAUUACUGGGCGUAAAAGCGCACGUAGGCGGAUAUUUAAGUCAGGGGUGAAAAUCCCGCAGCUCAACUGCGGAACUGCCUUUGAUACUGGGUAUCUUGAGUAUGGAAAGAGGUAAGUGG
rnacentral:rRNA from 1 species